rnacentral:rRNA from 1 species
AAUGUCAGUGGCAGACGGGUGCGUAAUACAUGGGAAUCUUCCCCGAAGUACGGAACAACAGUUGGAAACGACUGCUAAUACCGUAUGUGAUCUCCGGAUCAAAGAUUUAUCGCUUCGGGACGAGCCCAUGUCUGAUUAGCUAGUUGGUGAGGUAAUGGCUCACCAAGGCAACGAUCAGUAGCUGGUCUGAGAGGACGAUCAGCCACACUGGGACUGAGACACGGCCCAGACUCCUACGGGAGGCAGCAGUAGGGAAUAUUGGACAAUGGAGGAAACUCUGAUCCAGCCAUGCCGCGUGAGUGAUGAAGGCCUUCGGGUUGUAAAGCUCUUUGAGCAGGGACAAUAAUGAUGGUACCUGCAGAACAAGCCCCGGCUAACUCUGUGCCAGCAGCCGCGGUAAGACAGAGGGGGCUAGCGUUGUUCGGAAUUACUGGGCGUAAAACGCUUGUAGGCGGCUUUCCAAGUCGGGGGUGAAAUCCCAGAGCUUAACUCUGGAAUUGCCUUCGAUACUAGAGAGCUUGAAGAUGGCAGAGGAUAAUGGAAUUCUUAGUGUAGGAGUGAAAUCCGUAGAUAUUAAGAGGAACACCAGUGGCGAAGGCGGUUAUCUGGGCCAUUCUUGACGCUGAGAAGCGAAAGUGUGGGGAUCAAACAGGAUUAGAUACCCUGGUAGUCCACACUGUAAACGAUGGAUGUUAGAUGUUGGGGGUUUACCCUCAGUAUUGAAGCUAACGCGUUAAACAUCCCGCCUGGGGAGUACGGUCGCAAGAUUAAAACUCAAAGGAAUUGAC